CAAUAGCAAAAACUGGGAAUGAGAAGAAACAGGUACCAGUCAGGACACCUGUUCCAACUUGGAGCUCAGGAACCCAGGAGGGGAUCAGGGCUAGUGGGGAGACUCCGUGGUCCACAAUGAGUGCUCCGUCCCCAUCCACAAAUAUCCCCUAGCCCAGUUUUUGGGCAGAUGCCAGACUUUUAUUCUGAAGCGUGGGCCACAACCUAUGAGGUAAUCUUUGGAGCUUCGUUCUGAGGUGGAAUCCCAUUGGCCAGUUGGGGAAGCCCCUCCUAGGAUUCCUGGCACUCCGCCUUCCCCGAAGCCCAUAAAAGAGCAGUUCCCCGCCUCAGCAACCACCGGACACCUGCCUCUGCCAAGAAGACUGGAAGCAGAAAGGGACAGAGAUGGCGAAGUUGGACGGUCUGGAAAGCAGAGACCAGCGGGGCUGACUGCUUGGGAGCACCAGGGACAGCUCUCCACCGACCGACGGAGGAGAAUGCUAUUUAUUUCAGCACCAAGCCUCGGGACAGUGCCACUCGGGGGUCUGAGAAGAGAACAGCUACCUGUUUCAGCACCGGGGCUCAGGACAGCUCCCAGCGGGCUCCGUUUCGGGGCCAGGACCCUGGACAGCUCCUCCAGAGACGGGUUUCACCAUGUUGGCCAGGCUGAUCUCGACCUCUUGACCUCGUGAUUCGCUCUCCUCAGCCUCCCAAAGUGCUGGGAUUACAGACGAGAACCACCCCGCCUGGCCCAAGUCUGCAAUUUUCAACAGGAUAUGGGUGUUACUAUGCCCACAUGACAUUUGGGGAAGCCAAGGCCCGGAGAGAGGUGGAAAAAUAACCAACCCAGGGGCUCUCAGCCCAAAGUGAAGCUGAGAACCGGGAAUGGAAAACAGGGAGGCAGCACAGAGGCAGGAAGCCCACAUGUCACAGAUUGGCUCAGCUUGGAAUGCACUUCCCCCACCUCCACCCAGAGACCCCUGCAACUGAGCCUGCCUUCUUCUGCAAGCUCCAUUUCAUCAAGGGAAACGAUCCUGAUUGCCUCACCAUUUCCCAUGUGAAGUCUGUACUGACAUUCUCAGAGACCUGGGAUAUUGUGUCUCCAGCACAUAGUCCAAUUAUUUUCAAGUUAUCUAGUGACAUGUCUAUUUGUCUCCCUGUUACCCUGUGAGCUCCAUGAGAGCAGAAACAAUGUUUGUAUUUUCACGGCUACAUCCCCAGUGCCUGGUCCAGUGCCCAGCACACCGCGGGCAUACCAUAAGCAUGUGUUGAAUCAAUAAAGCCACCAAAGAAUAAACCAAUACAUCAAUC